CCCUGGUCCCAGUGUUUUCCUUCCGCUAUGUCUCCCCUCCCCCUCCCUCUUUCCCAUCCUCCCCUUCUCUGGGUCUUCCCUUCCCCUCCCCCUCUUUCCCAUCCUCCUUGCAGUUCUGGGACCAGCCCUCCCUGGAGACCCCUAUGACUCCAGCUCCCAUUUCUGGGAAACCCAGGCCCCACCGACUUCUUUCACUCUUCCUGAAAACACAGAUGUCCAACUCAGCUCUGUUCUUGAAACUCCGUUUUCUGAUAAGGAGCCCUUCACUAAGAACAGCAGAGAGAGGUGGUUCGGGGAGCCGCUGGCAAUGUUGGGGAACUCCUUCCUGACCUCCAAAAACCUACACAUCCAGUAACCCUGCUCACCUUCUUGUCAGGGCUGCUGAACUCUGCUGUCAUAAGACUUAUCCAAUGUGUUCUGUGUCAGAAGCACGUUAGCAAACAGUGUCCUAGUGGGGACAGCGGGGACCAAGAGCUCGUCUGUGCUCUUCCAAGAUCCAUCCUUCUGGUUUGGAACUGGUUCCCAUGGCUGGGCACUUGCAGGAAAACCAAAGUUGUUUGACUGUGUCCAGACAAUGUAACAGGGACACAGGAAGGCCCUUCAUACUGAAGUUGGAAGACAAACACGAAACUAUCAAUUACCUGAUGACACUUUGAAGACUGCAGCCAAUGCAAUGAGAUG